AUAUUCCAAAUCGUUAGUCGCCCUUAUGUAAUAGUAUCACGUGCGUCUACAUUUGAUUAAUCUUUUGUUAGUGUUUUAUUUUAUUUUAUUAUUUUUAUAAUCUUUUUAGUUUAUUGUGUGUUAAAAUGAUCGCUCAUGUAAUUUACUUAUUGUAGUUUUCGUUACGGCACGUGCGUAGCGCGGGACGUGACACUGGAUGAUGAUGCUUAGGACCUCUACGGAUACUGCGCUAUAGAUGCAGAGUGGUAGGACUCUACAACGUCACCCGAUGUGAAAAUUAAGAUGUGCGCAUUGCGCAGAUAUGUCUCAACCGUCGCAUGUCUGCGGUGUAUAAAAGAGUAUUUUGAAUUAACACUGAAACGGUUUUGAUGGAGUCUAGAAAUUGAACAAAGCAUCGAAGCCAGAAUUCGGAAUAAGUAACGUUAAAUUGCUUUAUAAAUGGGUGUGUCGCAGUAUUAGCAAGACAAAGGCAAAGAAUUCUACAGACCGCUGGACGGAGUACACCUAACGGAUUACCCAGAAUUGUACAACUUAUUGUUAGAAUACUACUGCGUACGAUGAAUAAUGCCACCCAUUUAUUAUCUACAUAACGAGAAGAGGAUUCGUUUGGAAAAGAUCAGUCCAACCCGCUACCACGUUUGGUCAUUUGGAGAUUUCAGAUAUCUUUACAACAAAGGAGGACAGCGUUUCAUGCGUAAGGAUGUGAGUAUUCGCACGGCAAUUAAGUGUAACUUAUGUGAACAACGAUUAAUCAUCUCCGCAUCAACGACAACAUAUCGAGAAUACAUGAAGAAGUAUUUUGAAAUUCCGGGAGAGACUGUUCGGAAUUUGGGAUGACCGUCCCUUUAUGACUCGGACCACAUAUCUACCUUUCUUGGGAAAGUCUGAAUUGCCUAUCCCCUAAGCUGUAAACAUCCUAAGUGCCCGAUGGGCCAGGUUAAAGGUAAACAGCUGGCAAUACCAGAGGAUAUGUGCCCACGAGAGUACACAAUUAAAACAUGGAAAACCCGGAGAUGGAAAGUCAGUAUGUAAGGACGAGACGAAGCUUCUGGUGGCAGUAUCAACAAAAUCUUACAACCGUCAUCAUCAGAACAUCAAGUUCUUCGUGUAUAUUAAAAAGUGCUAAUAAAAUAACCAAACCAUACUAA